UACGUAGGGGGCGAGCGUUGUCCGGAUUUAUUGGGCGUAAAGCGCACGCAGGCGGUUGCGUAAGUUUGGAGUGACAGUGCCUGGCUUAACCAGGCAAGGCCUCUGAAAACUGCGGAACUUGAGGACCAGAGAGGGACAUAGAAUUCCGGGUGGAGUGGUGAAAUGCGUAGAUAUCCGGAGGAAUACCAAAGGCGAAGGCAGUGUCCUGGCUGGUAACUGACGCUGAGGUGCGAAAGCUAGGGGAGCGAACAGG
rnacentral:rRNA from 1 species